AAAAUGCAUUGUUUUUUAAUGUGAAAUGCCAUUUUUGCUGUAAGAGGAUGAUUAAUUAGAUCCCUACCAACUGAGCAAACAGCAACUAAGAGCUAGUUAUGUUUCUGGAAACAAUACAGUCAUUACUAAGAAGCGUAUUUACUACAGUCAAUCAUCGUUUGCUGGAAUAAAUUUCACUGUUGCAAAUAAACAUCUGAUGUUUAAUGCUUUGCUUUGCAGAAAGCACUUCUGCUGAGCUGCAGCACAAAGACAAGUUGGUGUGAGAAGUUCCUAUGAUGCCAGAUCCCUUCCUUGGCUCCUUCCUGACUUUCCAUCAAUUUUACAGCUAUGCCAAGAAAAACAGUUCUUUUUAAAGAAGACCUAGUGCAGCACCGGCAUCUCUCCCUGCAGCUACCGUGCUUCAAUCCAAGCAAACCUGCUCUGAGCCCAUCCUUGUUACACUCCUCCCCAAGAAGACUUCACUCCCUCUCCCCACAGGCACCCACUCGUUGCCUGCACCCCAUGGGCUACCUCACUGCAUCCAUGCCAGAGACUGCAUGGGGCAAACACGUCAAUAGCAAAAAAAAUAACAAUAAAAGCAAAUUCAAGUACCUAAGUGACAGCUGUCCCAGUUUCCAAACUAUGUACAGAUCAGGCAUCAGCUAGAAGGGUUAAGACUGGCAAAUUGAAUCCAUGUGCAGCUCAUGAAAGUGUGGGAAACAAAAGAGACAAUGUGAGUUAAGGACAGAGUAUUCAUUAGCAAAGGGCUCAAGUUUCUUGGCUUUUGCUGCCCUGCUUCCCGAUGGCUAUUUUUUUCAAGGUAGCUUUUUGUUCUUCAGUUUUGUGGAAAGACAUUAUACUCGAACUAAUGAACUAAGGCUCAGUACAUGUGGAACUGCUUACAAUAAUUUGUCUUUUUAAUUCCUGGGGACAUGAAAGCAAUGUCAGAGAUAGUUUUCUGCUGGGCUACAGUGGGCUUUGGGUCAGAGCUUUAUAUGACAUAGCUGAUCCAAAGACCCCACACUCAUCUACAAAUACUCAUUUACACUAUGGUAUUAAAUAGGGAAAUCUGAUCUACAGAGAGAGGUCUCAGUCACUCAGAGCAGAGCCUGGAGCACCAGCCUAUCCACAGCCAAGUGAAUGAUGGAGGAGCACAAGGGGCAUUGGCGAGUACCCAUGUUAGGUCUGCACUCAUCCACCACUUGGGAGACACUCAGAGCAAGCACGCCAACCUUCUAGUGCCAGGGCUUCAGGAGCAGCUCCAUCUUGCAUAGGACAUAAAUACCAUGUUAGGAUCUCUUAUUGAGGUCCCUAUAGGUCAGAUAAGUAUUGAAAAUUGAGCCUCAAAGUCCAUCCUUUGGUUCCCCAACAAAGUUCAAUUCAAGCAAUCCUUACCGGGGAGUUGAUUUGCUGGCGGAGUUCUGGAAAAAGCAGUUGAAAUAGUAUACUGGAAAUUGAAACUAAGGUUCUAUUUCACUGUUUAAGGCAACAGAUAUCUAUCUACCAAGUUCAGCAAGAUGUGCUGCAUUUUCCUUUGACUAUUUUAGUUUUUGAAGUAAAAAGUAAGGUAAAGGGUUCCCAAAUUAGAGCAACUGCUGAGAGCCCUAAAAAGAACAAACAAGGUGGGAAAGUAGGUAAGUUUUAACACAAUCGUAAGUCAAAGUCAGAAAUAAUUGUUCUAAUGCAUUCUGUUCCUGACAAAUCUCAGCUUCAGAAGUGCUUCACAUGCACUGAGAGUCCUAAGGAACUUUGAAAGCGUUUAGGGAUCACUUGGCAGAGCAGAGCCAGCAGCAGCAGCCAAAUGCCAAGCAGAGCAUUCUAAAACACUGUGUGAGGAACAGAUUCCUGCCUAAGGCAUCAGAGCAAGUUUCCCAUCGUGCAAAACAGCUAAAGGUUUCAGACCUCAAGUUUUCUACUUGUUAAGGAAGUUAAUAUUUUGAAUAUGACAGGACUCAGCAGGAGACCAUUGAUCUACAUUAAAUGAGAAGAUGCUAAAAGCCCCAAGAACUUGAGUAACUGUAGGAAAUUAACAUGCUUUUUUUUUAUUUAUUAUAUUAACCAUACAGCCAGACUACUCUUAAACAUUCUCUUUCCACAUUCAUAUCCACACCUUUACCUUUGUACCAUUUGAAUUCUGCAUUCAGCUCUGUCCCUUGAUCAUUAAUGCAGACUCCUAAGCUUCAGACUUCAAAGAAAUGCACGCGUAAGAGUCACAGGCACAGGACUGGAACAGCGUCAAAGCCGCCCUGUGCAGGAACCUCCAUCUUCUGUUUGACUUCACUGUACAAAUACUUCGUUCUAUCAAGACUGGGAAAUUCAACGAUUUAAGUAGGGCUUCCCACAGAUUAAGUUAAUAAGGGAAUCCAACAGUGCCUCAUCUCCUUCCGCCUUCCAAACACUGGUAAAUGAAAGGAAAUAAGAAUGUCUCCUGGGGUAAGAGAAAGACGUGAGCUCUCUACAAAUGUGCAAGGGAAGAAACCAAAGGCUUCUUUGUGUGUAUUCGUACUUUUCCAGGAAUCCUCUCCCCUCGCCUCUCCCAUAAGUGGCACCAAGUUUUUCUAAGAAUGUUAUCACAUGCAAAGGCAAAGCCUUGUCCGUGAAGCACUGCAAUUGGCACCCAGGACUGUGCUGGUUUAGUUUUCUUCCUGAGUCCUUCUAGACCUGCUCUUCCAAGGUUUUCAAUCGGCCAUCUGCCCCAUACACUGUUUCUAAUGUUACACUGUUCCUUCCUUUGACCCUUCCCCCUUUCUCCUGCUCUCAUCCUCCCUCUCUGCAACUCCCAGUGCUCGCAUGCCCCACUGCCUUACUGCUGUGGGUGCCCUCUUGCCACAUGCAGCCCAUGUUCAGUAUCACCAGUACUUCCUAGAGCUCCAGCCAUCCCUUACUAUUCUGAGCUCCAUGCAUAUAAAACAAUUACAGUUUAACACAAAACAUUUGGGUUUGACAAACAAAGAAAUUACGGCACAGAUAGAUCAAAAUCAAACCUCUCCUAAGCCCUAACGGACUCAGUUAAUGUAACUUGCAGUCAGCACCCCUUUGAGUUUGAAAAUUACACCAACAUCUCUUGGCUGAGACUAAACCUCUGCAAGAGAUAAUCCAAAAGGAGUCUGGCUGUUUUAACUUUCUUUGUAGCUGCUUGUGUAUUCCCACCUUUCAAGGAAAUUACCCAACACCAAACUAACACAGGUGUGAUUUCUCCAGUAGUAAGAAAGCUGACAUAGCUCUUCAGAUUUUGCCAUUUUCACCUACAAGAUAGUCUGCUUGCUCUCUGAAUUAAGUUAUAUGUUACAACAGUGUAGUGUGAGAAGCUGUUAUAGAUGCACUUCAAAUGUCUUAUGAUGCCCCACAAAACAUCAGGCUAAAGUGACAAUACUGAUGGUAAAAUGUAUUACGACUUACGGAGAAGGUGAACUAGAAAGUCACACUCAGAAAUUUCUCUGCUAAUGAGAACAUUGCAAUUAGGUCAUCACUGAAUGCUGUGUAACCAGGAAUCAGAGCACAAAUAUUGCCACAGAAUAAUUAAUAUGUGACAGCGGGUUCUUGGAAUGAGAACAGGAAUUUCACCCACACAGCCCUACUGUUGAAUUAUACAGAUAAACAGCAGUCCUGAGAUAGUCAGCUUCCAGAGGAGGCACGCAGGUAAAACACAGAGAUCCAGUUUAGUACGAGCCAUCUAGAGCCUAAACUCCCAGACAUGAAAGUUCACAUCCAACUUUAAUGAAAGAUAGCGUUCAGAGUGAGUUUUGGGGUCAUUUCUAUUUAGGUCACGUAUGAACUUGAUCCAGGACACAACUUUCUUUAACUAUCUUCUGGACUCCAGUUUGAGCAGCAUUUCUGAUUUCCAGUAAUUAUUUCUCUUGUGCUAAAAACCUACAUUAAUUCCACCUCUAAUUUUACUAAGUUCAGACUGCGGGUUUUGGUAGCUCUCUAAACACCAGACCUUUAUUCAAACCAGAAUGCUUUUUGUCACAGACACCCUGACCCUCUCCCUCUCUGAGGUCCUGCACAGCCACCUGGCAGUACCUGCUGCUGGGGCACACAGGUCAGGAGGGCAAAGAGCUGCAGGCUAAUGGGACACUGCUCUGAUCAGGGAGGUUAGGUUACAAGGCCAUGCCUUUGAAGACUGGCUUCUUCAGUGUGGCCCUCUGGUUUACAACUGGGAUUUCUUUUAAUUAGACUGUACUAUUAAUUAUUUAUGACCUAUAUUAUCUGCAGAAGCUGCCCAAAGCUAAAAGAUAUCAGACUUAAUGAGGAUAAUUGGAAUAGUUACUUUUUUUUUUUUUUAACCUCUUUUGUAAAGCACCUUGGGCCUUACUGAUUAGAGGUGCUAGGACAGGAUUAGACGCUUAAUGAAAAACUAUUAUUAAAAUGUGGAAUAAGAAAGAGGACUGAAUUAAAAUGGAAUUUUCUAUUUUCUGUUGCAUUAGGGACGAGCAGAGGAUUAGAGGUGACACAGAAACUUUUAACCUGAAAAUCAAAUGGGCAUCUUCUUUAUGCUCCUCAUGGUGGAGGACUCCAGGCAAAGAUGCCAAGGGCCAGAGCCUGGGACCAGAUGUUGUGAGAUGUGAAAACAACCCCCAGGCACCUGUGCCAUGGAAACACUGGGUAUCCUGGCACCUACUGGUGGUUCCACUGCAUUCUGGCUACCUACAAUGUUGAGCAAAAGCAACAGCUGCCACGUUCCUGCAUGACUACAGAUUCAGCCUUCCGGCCUUCCACUCUCUCAAAAAGAUAUCUUGGAAUUGGCACAGAUGGGACUUGUGGCUCUGCUCCCACCAUAUGAUGGCUUUGUUUUCUUGCUUUUGAUGAAGAGGAGGAAGCAAAAAGAGGAGGUAGUGGCCACACACUGGCCUUUCACUGUAAAUACCAAAGGAGAUAUGGAGGCUCAUUCCGGCCGCUCUGUUCAGCUCAGGCCACACCUAACACCCAGGAUGGCAGCAUGAUACUACUGCAGGGAAGCCACUGGGUGUAACUGCUUUACACGUUUCUGCUCAAUGAUCCAGGAGGAAGAUACACAGGUAGCUCAUUUGAAGCACUGCAUUCUUGUAGUUCAUAAAAUUAUAGAACUGCCUAGGUUGAAAAGGACCACAAUGAUCAUCUAGUUUCAACCCCCUGCUAUGUGCAAGG